AGAAGACCAUAAAUCUUUGGAUUUAUUUUCGAAAAGAUUUAUUCUCGAAAUGAAUUUAAGAUUGGCAGCAUGGAGGACAGAGCAACAACGUUAUUUACAUAUCGAGAACGCGAUCUUCUCGUUCCCUCAUCAAUGUCUCAGGUACGCGAUCGCUAAUCAUCGAAGCAGCCUCGAUACGCCGCAGUCGUCACCUCUGAAUUUACCAAUCAACUUAUCGUAGGGCCGAUCGUUUAAUUGACGUUACCAGGAGAAAGUGUUAAUCUGGCGGUGUUAAACAGAUGUCCGACCGAUACGCAUCUUUAAUUUCGCCUCUGGUCCGGUUUUAAUUGGACACGAUGAGAUACGCUUGUGGUCUCGUUAUACUUGAACGGGUUUACUUUGUUAAAUAUCCUUGCCCGUUCCAUUGUUUCAGCGGUAAUAAUAUCGUAUCUGAUAAUAGUUCGAAUCGAGAUCACGUAGAGUCGAGAGCCAGAUCUCUCUCUCUCUCUCUUUCUCUUUCUCUCUCUCUUUCUUUUCCCUUCAUCAUUUUCUACAGUUACGCCUAAUCAAAUCACUUUGUCGAUAGAAAGUGUCAAGUAAAAGGAAGGAGAAAGCGUUGCCAUUGGUUUGCAUCCGCUCUUGCAUUGUGUGUUAUUACUACGCCCACGUGGACCGUGGAUCGUGAAAUUGUAACGGUUUCGUCUGUACCGUGUAUUUUGAGAAGGAUAAUGAAUUUGAUUAUUUGAAAUGGGGACGAUUGGAACGAAAAAAGUUUGGAAAAUUAUUUAUUCGAUUGUUCGUUUAUGCUAUAAUUUGUAUCAAACUCGAAUUAUUCUAUUUUUAAUGUACUUUAAAUUAAUAUACUUUAAAUAGUCUUCCAAUUUAUUUUAAAUAAUAUUUUUGAAGUAAAAUUAGAUAGAUAUUUGAAGUGAAAUAGUAGAUGGUGGGUAUAAUUUAUUGCGAGUAUUUCAAAUAUUUUAAGAUAAAAUUUAUUAUCCAUGAAAUACUGUGUUUCACUUUCGUCAUCACGUUAGAAUUAGAUGCAGAACACAGAAUAAAUUUAUCAAAGUAAAAUAGUUUCAGGGAAGUUAAAUAGCGUUUUAAGGAUCCGAAAGAAAGAAAUACUUUUGAAACAGGAAACAUAAAUUCUCGUAUGCACUUAAGGCAGGAACGAAGAUUCGUAAUUCUGAUUGCAUCAGGAAAAUUAUACGAUUUUUAUUUCGGUUGAUCGAGAAUCUCUGAUGCAACGUGAAAGUAUGGGCGAAACCGAGCAUCCAUAUUCCUUUAUUGGCCACGUCGAACGGUACUAAACAAUAAUAAUUCUCAAUCUCGAAGUGUACGAAUGUUUUAUAAUGAACUUUAUAUAACAAUAUUCGUAUCCGAAAGAGGGAUAUAUAAGGCAAGGAAAGAAAUGAAGAUUAUUUUAAACGAAUUGAUAUCGAUCGAGAAGGGGCCACAGCAAUCAGAAAAUCCAUCAAAAAUCAAUCAAGGAAAUCGGUGAUCACUAUUAUUACUUUUGCAGCGAACGUUGAUAGGUUCAAGGGAUCGUUGUUCGUUCUAUAAUUCCGUUACUCAAAUUAGAAUCAGUUACGAAUGAGGAGUAAAAGAUUAUAGAAUACAACAAAUGAAGAUAAUAAUAAAUUAUUGCUUCCAUAAUUUCUCUUAUUUAAAUAAAUCGAUAAUUUUUUAUUUUUUUAUAUAUUAUUAAAAAAGCCAAAAGUGGUGAAGGGAUUGCGUGCCACAUAUCAUGGAAACUGAAAAACAAGGAAAUGGUGCAUGAUUUCAAAAAAAAAAGAUAAACAAUCUGUGCAUGGUUUCACGGAGAGAUCAUCGAUAAAUACAGAGCAGUAGUUUUGCAGCUUUCAAAACAGGAUCCGAUAAAUCUUUUUCAUUCGAGCAUCAAUGUAGGAAAAUGGGUCAUCGCGGUGCACGAGGAGUUCUCCACCGCGGAGCGGAUCGGCGGAGGCCGCGUGCGGGGAGGGGAGAGGACGUUAUUUCUAUUCCACGGAGGAACUGGUUCUCCGCCACGUUGGAAGAGGAGAGCGCGCGCCGCGCGUGCCACUCGCGUGUGUCACGUGUCCCUACGGUGAGGUGAGAGGCGAAGAGGUAACAGGCGGCGAGGCGAAAUAGAAUGGAAAAGGCUGGCCACGUCACGGACGUGUCAACAUUGAUUUGGGUCAGGAGGAACGGAGAAGCCGAUUCGAACGGUCGAUAAGGAAAGUGGUCGAACGGUAGUCUGUAAUUAACGACGUUAAGGAGAGGAGAUUUUUUUCUGUUUAUGUUCGUUUCCCAUUCGGCCAGCUGCACACGUGAACACGCGUUUCACGCGUGCACGCCUCACCUUCUCCCCUUCUCGCUUUCCUCUCGUGAUAACUUGCAAUUACAUUGAUUGGUUCGCGGAUUUUAACCGAAGACCGGGUAUGUGCGUUCAUAUGAGGGUCAAAGGUGGCCACGAAAGGAAGCAGAGAAGAGUUGGAACGAGAAACGAAAUUUUCGAAUCUGCAAUAGAAAGAAACGGAUGAUCGAGGUGGUUGGAAAGCAAACCGAUCGUGCGAGAGUAUCGGUAAAUAGUAGCCAGAUCGUAAGGAAGAUAAGCGAUGGAUGGUUGAGAUCGGGGAAGAUUAAGAGAGCCCGGUGUUGUAGAUCUGGAGAUAGACGCGUGGAAUUUUCUUUAUCGAUCAGAGUUGUUAAUUGAGGAGAGUUGGAGGAAGAAGAAAUUGAUUAGAAAGUGAAGAAUGGAUUGGGUGUGUGAAGGAAUGAUUUGUGGAUCGAUGUAUCGAUGCUUGACAGUUGUAUAUGUUGGAAUCAGGAUUUUAUACAACUCAAUCGAUGCUAGUUUCCUCGAAUGGUAAAUAUUUUUUCUUCGUUUUUCGCGAUGACGAAGCUCGAUACGAAAGCGUUUGAUUAAAUUAUCGUUUCGAUAUAUCGCAAUUGUCUGGAUGAAACGUUACAACAAAUUACAGAGAACAAUUAUCGAUCGUUUUGUAAUUUUGAAAGUUAAUGAAACAACACCUCAUAUCGAGGGUGAAAUUUAUUAUAUAACGAACUAAUAUGCAUUAUUUAUGACGUAAAAAUAAUACAAUAAUGUUAAUUGUCUUAUACCGUCGAUUAUUAAUUAAUUUAUGCAAUAUCAUAAUGAAACACCAUCACAAUUAUAAUGGAACAAUAAACAGUGGAUCAAUAAGUAUAUACAAAAAUAAUACGUAUAAAUCAAA